UCUGAUGUCACAAACCACACGUCACACUAGGC
rnacentral:piRNA from 1 species